UACAGAAGAAAAAAGGGGAGGGGGGGGAGGUUAAAAGGUUUCCGGUACAUAGCACUUAUAUGACACAGGUUGAGCAUUACAUCCAUAUACCGGAUAAAAACAGGCAUUAUGUUAUACAAGCUAGUACAUUGAAAUACAGGGAGAGUCAUCUACCACUUAUGCAAGAAAUGUAAAGAACAACACGCAAAAGGCUGUGUAGCAGAACAUGUAUAGCAGAAUGUGUUGUCGUUCCCCACAACAUGCAACACAGGCCUAUAAGAAUCGCAUAAUUAUACUUAGUGUAGAAUUUUACAAAUUAAGAUACUCAGGUGGGGUUGAUCUCCAUGUGUGCCACAGCGACCACAUAUGCCUGGUUAUAUGAAAGAGGGAAUAUAAAAGUGAAAUUGGUUUCAUAUAGACAUUGUUUAUCUAGUUCAGCAGUCAAGGCGGGGACUCUAGGAGCCGAAAAGGAUUUCCAGGCUCUAGCUCUCAAUUGACGAGCU